rnacentral:rRNA from 1 species
UGGGGAAUAUUGGACAAUGGGGGCAACCCUGAUCCAGCAAUACCGCGUGUGUGAAGAAGGCCUGAGGGUUGUAAAGCACUUUUAGUGGGGAGGAGGGUUUGUAGGUUAAGAGCUAGCGAACUGGACGUUACCCACAGAAAAAGCACCGGCUAACUCCGUGCCAGCAGCCGCGGUAAUACGGAGGGUGCAAGCGUUAAUCGGAAUUACUGGGCGUAAAGGGUGCGUAGGUGGUUUGAUAAGUUAUCUGUGAAAUUCCUGGGCUCAACCUGGGCAGGUCAGAUAAAACUGUUGAACUCGAGUAUGGGAGAGGGUAGUGGAAUUUCCGGUGUAGCGGUGAAAUGCGUAGAGAUCGGAAGGAACACCAGUGGCGAAGGCGGCUACCUGGCCUAAUACUGACACU